AGCCCGCUCGCCGGAAGACCAAGGGUUCCUGUCCAACGUUAAUCGGGGCAGGGUGAGUCGACCCCUAAGGCGAGGCCGAAAGGCGUAGUCGAUGGGAAACGGGUUAAUAUUCCCGUACUUGGUGUUACUGCGAAGGGGGGACGGAGAAGGCUAUGUUGGCCGGGCGACGGUUGUCCCGGUUUAAGCGUGUAGGUGUGUGUUCCAGGUAAAUCCGGUUCACUUUAACACUGAGGCGUGAUGACGAGGCACUACGGUGCUGAAGCAACAAAUGCCCUGCUUCCAGGAAAAGCCUCUAAGCAUCAGGUAACAUCAAAUCGUACCCCAAACCGACACAGGUGGUCAGGUAGAGAAUACCAAGGCGCUUGAGAGAACUCGGGUGAAGGAACUAGGCAAAAUGGUGCCGUAACUUCGGGAGAAGGCACGCUGACACGUAGGUGAAGUGAUUUACUCACGGAGCUGAAGUCAGUCGAAGAUACCAGCUGGCUGCAACUGUUUAUUAAAAACACAGCACUGUGCAAACACGAAAGUGGACGUAUACGGUGUGACGCCUGCCCGGUGCCGGAAGGUUAAUUGAUGGGGUCAGCGCAAGCGAAGCUCCUGAUCGAAGCCCCGGUAAACGGCGGCCGUAACUAUAACGGUCCUAAGGUAGCGAAAUUCCUUGUCGGGUAAGUUCCGACCUGCACGAAUGGCGUAAUGAUGGCCAGGCUGUCUCCACCCGAGACUCAGUGAAAUUGAACUCGCUGUGAAGAUGCAGUGUACCCGCGGCAAGACGGAAAGACCCCGUGAACCUUUACUAUAGCUUGACACUGAACAUUGAGCCUUGAUGUGUAGGAUAGGUGGGAGGCUUUGAAGUGUGGACGCCAGUCUGCAUGGAGCCGACCUUGAAAUACCACCCUUUAAUGUUUGAUGUUCUAACGUGGACCCGUAAUCCGGGUUGCGGACAGUGUCUGGUGGGUAGUUUGACUGGGGCGGUCUCCUCCUAAAGAGUAACGGAGGAGCACGAAGGUUGGCUAAUCCUGGUCGGACAUCAGGAGGUUAGUGCAAUGGCAUAAGCCAGCUUGACUGCGAGCGUGACGGCGCGAGCAGGUGCGAAAGCAGGUCAUAGUGAUCCGGUGGUUCUGAAUGGAAGGGCCAUCGCUCAACGGAUAAAAGGUACUCCGGGGAUAACAGGCUGAUACCGCCCAAGAGUUCAUAUCGACGGCGGUGUUUGGCACCUCGAUGUCGGCUCAUCACAUCCUGGGGCUGAAGUAGGUCCCAAGGGUAUGGCUGUUCGCCAUUUAAAGUGGUACGCGAGCUGGGUUUAGAACGUCGUGAGACAGUUCGGUCCCUAUCUGCCGUGGGCGCUGGAGAACUGAGGGGGGCUGCUCCUAGUACGAGAGGACCGGAGUGGACGCAUCACUGGUGUUCGGGUUGUCAUGCCAAUGGCACUGCCCGGUAGCUAAAUGCGGAAGAGAUAAGUGCUGAAAGCAUCUAAGCACGAAACUUGCCCCGAGAUGAGUUCU
rnacentral:rRNA from 1 species